rnacentral:rRNA from 1 species
UGGGGAAUAUUGCACAAUGGGCGGAAGCCUGAUGCGGCGACGCCGCGUGGGGGAUGAAGGCCUUCGGGUUGUAAACUCCUUUCGACAGGGACGAAGCUUUUGUGACGGUACCUGUAUAAGAAGCACCGGCUAACUACGUGCCAGCAGCCGCGGUAAUACGUAGGGUGCGAGCGUUGUCCGGAAUUACUGGGCGUAAAGAGCUCGUAGGUGGUUUGUCGCGUCGUCUGUGAAAUUCCGGGGCUUAACUCCGGGCGUGCAGGCGAUACGGGCUGACUUGAGUGCUGUAGGGGAGACUGGAAUUCCUGGUGUAGCGGUGAAAUGCGCAGAUAUCAGGAGGAACACCGAUGGCGAAGGCAGGUCUCUGGGCAGUAACUGACGCUGAGGAGCGAAAGCAUGGGUAGCGAACAGG